CAGGUGCAGAACUGCGAAGGAGAGAUCCUGGCACCCAAGUGACAACCUGCAUUGAAAAGGCGGAACUUGGCUCUCCUGCCCUGCCAGCUGUAAGAGCUUGAAAGCAAAGCUAUGGGGGGAAUGUCUUUCAUUUCCCCCUGGAAGCUGGGAGGACGUUCAGCUUAGCAUUGCCAACUGUGUAAUGUGGACUUGCCUCUAAAAGAAGCCUUUUUCCUUGGAUGUCUUUCAGGCCGCAGUAUUCCCUUUGGCACCCCCACCCACCUGGAACAAAGCCUGAUGUAAAGUCUGGGUGCGACUCAGACCGGC
rnacentral:lncRNA from 1 species